rnacentral:sRNA from 1 species
GCUGGCUGUGGUGGCGCACGCCUGUAAUCCCAGCAAUUUGGGAGGCUGAGGCAGGAGGAUCACAAGUUCAAAGCCAGCCUCAGCAACUUAGGUCUUAAGCAACUUAGUGAGACCCUGUCUCAA